CUGACUGCAGUGGAAAAAGGAAGAAGUCGGAUGGCCAGGGGAGGCCAUGGAAACAGCCCAGGAAGGAGGUGACGAUAGCCUGAAUGAUAGUGGGAACAGUGAAGACCAUGAAAAGGGAUCUGAUCCUGGACACAUUCAGAAAAUGGCUGUUGGAAGACAGAAAAAAUGGGAUUUGUUAACAGAUCACAGGGACUGACUCAUACGUUCAGGUAGUACAGGCGGGCUUCCUGAGUGACUCUGCGGAGCGGAUCCCCCAAUCACCUCUGUGAAACGCGACUUUUAAGCAAGAAACACAACUUUGUCCUGUGAAGACACUGAUACUGUGUUGCUGUCUGUUUCUAACCAACUCUAAUACAAUCCAAAGCCAGACACAAUUAAGCACACUGACACACGGAGAAAUGGAUAUUCCAGAAACUUCUGCAAGUGACUGAGUGGCCAAUGUCAAAGUCUCCCGAUUCUCCAGGCCCACACGGUGCUGUCAUCGGGCUCUCUGCCACAGCAUGAAUAAGAUGAGAUGGAAAGCAUACAGGUAACACCAGGCAGUACUUGAGCACAGUUGUAGGUAUACUACAGUCUGUGGUGAGGUGAAACACAGCUUCACACCAGGCCCACGCAUCCUGCUCUGCCCCCAGAGCAUGGACAGGUCCAGGAUCUUUGUCAUGGUAAAUGGAAAGUGCUAGGCAUUUAGGCUCUCCCUGUUUUAUGAUUGUGGCACACACCAGUCUUCGGAAUGGGUGUCAGUGAUAAUCCCUGGGGACAUGAGCGCAAUGACCCAUGGGCCACCUGUUCCCUGAAUUUGAGCAUCAAAGGACAAGAGAGCCCAAGACGUGUUCAGCCAGUGUCUUCUCUUGCCAACCGGGCGUGCCAACUGUCUGGUCCAGGGGAAGGGCUAAUACCACCCGUGUCCAUAGGAUUCUGGAAGCUGGCAGUGAAGGGAGGAAUGUAAGGGCUAUGAGGGUGGGAGAGGAAGUCAGGGUAAAGGAAGGAAGUAUGUAACAUACAACCCUAGGAACGUGAUACCAUUUUCAUUUUAUAAAUAAUAAAAUUAAAGCUCAGAAUUUUAAUUUGCCCCAGAACUCCCAGAUCAUAGCUUACCAAAGCCUGUUUUGCUCAUUAUGAGACAAUAAACCAGCACAAUGCCCUGCAUUUAAGUUGCUUGAUAAAAGGCGAAUGAAUUAAUGGAUGCAUGGAUGAAGGGAGGGAGGGAUGCAUGAACGAAGGCCUAUCUGGUUCUAAAACACAUGCUCUUCCUAUACCCUUUGCCUCCAAGUAUAUCACUUAGGAUGAGAACUUGAAAUGACAGGAAGUCAGAAGAAAGAUUGACUUUCUUUUUCUUGACAGAGGGCAUGCAAAGUUGGAAUCAGUAGAAAUGGACAUGAUGAAAAUGUACAGAAAAUGUUUAGAAGGAAUCAUUAAUAGGCCAAAUUGGACCACCCAUUCUGAUGGUUACUAUCAAAAAAAAAAAGAAAGAAAAAAGAAAAAGAAAAAGAAAAAGAAAGAACACCA